rnacentral:rRNA from 1 species
AUUGAACGCUGGCGGUAGGCCUAACACAUGCAAGUCGAACGCGAAAGUCCUUCGGGAUGAGUAGAGUGGCGGACGGGUGAGUAACGCGUAGGAAUCUAUCCUGUAGUGGGGGAUAACGUUUCGAAAGGAACGCUAAUACCGCAUACGCCCCAAGGGGGAAAGCGGGGGAUCUUCGGACCUCGUGCUAUAGGAGGAGCCUGCGUCGGAUUAGCUAGUUGGUGAGGUAAAGGCUCACCAAGGCGACGAUCCGUAGCUGGUCUGAGAGGAUGAUCAGCCACACCGGAACUGAGACACGGUCCGGACUCCUACGGGAGGCAGCAGUGGGGAAUAUUGCGCAAUGGGCGAAAGCCUGACGCAGCCAUACCGCGUGUGUGAAGAAGGCCUUCGGGUUGUAAAGCACUUUCAGUGGGGAGGAAAAGCUGGUGGCUAAUAUCCAUCGGCCGUGACGCUACCCACAGAAGAAGCACCGGCUAAUUCCGUG